rnacentral:rRNA from 1 species
UACGUAGGGGGCAAGCGUUGUCCGGAUUUAUUGGGCGUAAAGAGCGUGUAGGCGGCCACGCAGGUCCGUUGUGAAAACUGGAGGCUCAACCUCCAGACGUCGACGGAAACCGUAUGGCUAGAGUCCGGAAGAGGAGAGUGGAAUUCCUGGUGUAGCGGUGAAAUGCGCAGAUAUCAGGAAGAACACCAAUGGCGAAGGCAGCUCUCUGGGACGGUACUGACGCUGAGACGCGAAAGCGUGGGGAGCGAACAGG